UACGUAGGGUGCAGGCGUUAAUCGGAAUUACUGGGCGUAAAGCGUGCGCAGGCGGUUUCUUAAGUCAGAUGUGAAAGCCCCGGGCUUAACCUGGGAACUGCGUUUGAAACUGGGAGACUUGAGUGUAGCAGAGGGGGGUGGAAUUCCACGUGUAGCAGUGAAAUGCGUAGAUAUGUGGAGGAACACCAAUGGCGAAGGCAGCCCCCUGGGUUAACACUGACGCUCAUGCACGAAAGCGUGGGGAGCAAACAGG
rnacentral:rRNA from 1 species